AAAAAAAAAAAAAAAAUUUGAGAUAUGAUAUUAUUUUCAGGAUAAGCUUUUAGGUUUGAUAGCUAAUACAUUAAGACAGCAAAAUGGACUAAGUCAAACAAAGCCAGUCCAAAAUUUGGACAACUUUCUAAAUCCAAAAAAUCAUCUUCUUUGUUGGCGUUAGUAAAUUCAGCUGAACCUGUUUUAAGUAAAGAACAGUUACUUUAUGAAGUUGAGAUUGAGCUGAUGAAGAAUAAGCCUUCAACGCAAAUUUUGGCAAUUAUCUACAUCUCUUCUUAUAAGCGAUUUUUGCAGGCUUUAUCCCAUGUUUGCAGGUUUCGAAUGUAAUUCUAAAGAGUUUUGCGAUUUAGUUUUUUCCGAUGGGUCGGUUUUUUGAAAUUUAAUAAAAUUUCAAAGUGAUGUUUCCUGUAAAAAGUCUUCUUCCAAUGCUUUCAAUGCAACUCAGUCUGAUAAUCUGGAUGAAAUGCAGGGAGAAUCGAUACCUGGUCCACAAGUAGUAUUCAAUGAAACCCAUUUUAUGAUUCGUAGCAAAAAUGGAUGUGAGCUGAAGAAAGCACCGAUUUCAU